GCACUCUAAAGUGACUGCCGGUGACAAACCGGAGGAAGGUGGGGAUGACGUCAAAUCAUCAUGCCCCUUAUGACCUGGGCUACACACGUACUACAAUGGCCGGUACAACGGGAAGCGAAGGAGCGAUCUGGAGCGAAUCCUUUAAAGCCGGUCUCAGUUCGGAUUGCAGGCUGCAACUCGCCUGCAUGAAGUCGGAAUUGCUAGUAAUCGCGGAUCAGCAUGCCGCGGUGAAUACGUUCCCGGGUCUUGUACACACCGCCCGUCACACCACGAGAGUUUACAACACCCGAAGUCGGUGAGGUAACCGCAAGGAGCCAGCCGCCGAAGGUGGGGUAGAUGAUUGGGGUGAAGUCGUAACAAGGUAGCCGUAUCGGAAGGUGCGGCU
rnacentral:rRNA from 1 species